CAGCACAACAGUCCCACAUGAUUUGCGGCAGAAAUAGUAAGACGCAUCCGCUAAGAUGGGCUUGUCAUCACACCACGCAUAUUUACCGAUACAGGAUCGAAUUCAUCUGCAGCCUUUGCAUUGACGUUCAGUUUUAGCUAUAAUCCGUCUGCUACAUGUGCACGAAAACAAAUACGAUGCUUUACUGCAUGCAGACAAGGUUAACAAAAACAUUUCACAUUUGUGCAGUGGUUGAUUUGCUGGGCUCGGAUCAGGAAAGUGUUAAAUUCAGAUGUAGUAAAUCUGCUAUAUCGGGAUAUAGAAGCCGCGGCAAACUAGUAUUUCUUACUAGAGACUCCCGCUGUUUUGACCGGCCUAUUUAAGAAAUGGAUGAAGUUAUGUAAGCUCUUAAAAUAAAGUUCCACUUCCUUUCUCUGUUUCUCACAUACACAGACAGGAGCAUGAGCACAAUAGUCGCCCACAAAACAUCCUGUGUAUUCCAGCAACGAGUCCUUUCCCAAUUAACAACUAAAGCAAACUGUCAAGAUAGCAUUUGGUUAGUAAACUGGAGAUCAAUCGAACUAUAGACCUAACAGGACCUUUGAAACUCCCUUAAAUCGCAAAUGAGACCUGCUGAGAUUUCACCGGUGAUUAGUUUAGGGAAAUUACGUGUGAUCAUUGUGGAAAUAACAAUGGGCGUCUUGAUUCGAAACUGGCUCGCAGAAAGUAAAUUAUAAUCCAAUCACCAGACGGAACUUUUUCUCUGCAUGUUUUUCUGAACCACAUUUGUGUUCAAAGUUUGGCGCCAUAAAUGUCAUAACAGAAAUAUUGGAAAUUAUUUUGAAAUCGGUUUUGCAAUAUUAUAAUAUAACGCCAUUAGCCACAUCGCCUCAUAAUUUAUGUAUAAUACUGAGAUUUUUAACCAUCUGCUAGCAACAUAUUUAGAAUUACAGCGCUGAAAUUAGACAGGACAUAUCUGAUGACACGUAACGAAUGUCUUCGGGGGGCAACGUCACUUGGGUUACGUUCCUUUUAGAAUCAGUCCCUAGCAUACGUUUAUACUUUCACCAAUGCGUAAUGCAUGCCAAUUCGCCAUAAGUAAAUACAGUUUCUUAAUACUCAUUCGAGGGAAGAAGGGUAAUCCUGUUCCAGAAAAUAUUAAGAAAACUAACAACCGAUAGCCACAUGCAAGCGAUCGAUGCGGGCAGCAUCCAGAGCGAGGCGCCUUCUGUCAGGACGAGACACUUUCGCGAAAGUGUGAGUGUGAAACGAAGCUGACGGUGGAAUUACACAGCCUGAGCUGCCUAAUGCUUCCCACAGAGCUGUGGCCCCGUCAUCUCUCUCCCUUAAUGGCAUCCUGCCACCCCUUCAUAUCUCAACCUGUUUGUUGAGUUACUGCGUCCAGGACACUCUCGUGUUUGCUCUGUGGCCGAACCAACAAGAGGAGGCUACGUUGGACAGCAGGUCGCUUCCGGCUCAAAAUUUCUAAGACAAAAUUUCUGCACACAAGAAUAAGGUGAAGCAGGAGACACUGGCAGUGACCAAAGACCUGGCAGGAUGACAUCGACUGACCUUCGAGAGGAAUGGGAAGCAUUAAGUGCAAGUGUGAAGUGCACAAAUAGGACAGUUCGUAUCAGGCUCCUAGAAGCAGGACUGAAGACCCAUAAGGCAAAGAAGAAGCCCUUCAUCAGCGAGUAAAAGAGCCACCAGACUGCAGUUUGCAAAAAUAUAUAUAUUAUUCACAGACACACAUCAAUAAAUUGUGAAAUGAGUGAAAC